UACAGAGGUCCCAAGCGUUGUUCGGAUUCACUGGGCGUAAAGGGUGCGUAGGCGGUCGGGUAAGUCUGACGUGAAAUCUCCGAGCCCAACUCGGAAACUGCGUCGGAUACUAUUCGGCUAGAGGAAUGAGGGGAGACUGGAAUUCUCGGUGUAGCAGUGAAAUGCGUAGAUAUCGUAAGGAAGACCAGUGGCGAAGGCGGGUCUCUGGACAGUUCCUGACGCUGAGGCACGAAGGUCAGGGGAGCAAACGGG
rnacentral:rRNA from 1 species